rnacentral:rRNA from 1 species
GACGAACGCUGGCGGCGUGCCUAAUACAUGCAAGUCGAGCGGACCACUUCGGUGGUCAGCGGCGGACGGGUGAGUAACACGUGGGCAACCUGCCUGUAAGACUGGGAUAACACCGGGAAACCGGUGCUAAUACCGGAUAAUCCUUCUCUUCUCAUGAAGAGAAGCUGAAAGACGGUUUCGGCUGUCACUUACAGAUGGGCCCGCGGCGCAUUAGCUAGUUGGUGAGGUAACGGCUCACCAAGGCAGCGAUGCGUAGCCGACCUGAGAGGGUGAUCGGCCACACUGGGACUGAGACACGGCCCAGACUCCUACGGGAGGCAGCAGUAGGGAAUCUUCCGCAAUGGACGAAAGUCUGACGGAGCAACGCCGCGUGAGCGAUGAAGGCCUUCGGGUCGUAAAGCUCUGUUGUCAGGGAAGAACAAGUACCGGAGUAACUGCCGGUACCUUGACGGUACCUGACCAGAAAGCCACGGCUAACUACGUGCCAGCAGCCGCAGUAA